AUGAGAAAGCAAACGAUUUGACCUUUCUCUCAUAAGACGCUUAUAGCUCCCACUAGCUUGCUAAGAUCCAUAAUGGAUGGAUCUCUACAACUUACAUGUCUUGUGAUUCAUAUUUUUAGACAUAUAUUAUCAAGACUAUCUUAAUAAUGGUUUCGGAAACCUAUAUUAUGUCCAAACAUUGAAUCACCAUUUAAUUGUAGCUAGCAAUCUUCGAAUUAAUUGAAACUAAGACUACGUCAAAAAUGGUUCCUUCAAAGUCAACCAUUCUCUUUUAUUGUAGUCACCUUAAGCUACCAAUUAGCUUGUGAAGGUUUCAUUAUUUCGGGUCAAAUGGUACUUUACCAUUUCCUUGAGUAUAUAUCAUAUAUAUACACUCAUUGUAGUCAUAAGGAUUUUCAUUCUUAGUUCUUUCGAAUUAAGAGGUGCAACUCUAUGACUUAGUCAUAAAGUUCAAAAACCAUUCAACUGAGACGGUUUAUAAAUCCUUAUCGACUACCUUGGAGCUUGAGGUAUAGGAACUAGGUUGUUAUAUUUGUUGAUUACUUUCUUGUCUCUCAAAGAACCAUUCUUUGAGUUCUAUCCCUCGUUCAUUUGCUCUUAGGCAAAUCACAUUGUAGGAUUACAAUGAACUACCCAACAAAACAACAUUUGUUAGUUGGUAUAUAGAAGCGAUAUCCAAAAGUUCAUUUAAGGAUAUCCCACAAGAUUGUUAUCAAACAAAUAUUGCUUAUUAGCACACAACCCCAAAUCUUAACAUGUUUUAAGAUUUUGUCUUUCUUUCCAACUACAUCUUAUGGAGUCAUGAAAAUAUUGGAAGAUCUUCUAAUUGACAAUCAUAUUGUCUUAGAAGUAUAUAUCCUAUAUAUGGGUAAUAGAUAACAACUAACGAACUAAAUCUUAUUCGAGUUUGUUCUUCUCCUAAUGGAGAAAUACAUUAUCUUAUGAUGCUAUUUUCCUUGAUAUUUUUCAAGGAAACUCAUCUAAAGUGUUACCUUUCCUUGGAUCAAAUCUAAGGAGGUAAAUACUUUAGAUGUCUUACUCAUCAACUUACAUUUCUUGAAUUCUUUGAAACAUUUUGCAAAGUAUUCGGGCUUGUGUUUAUUCAAAAUAAACUAUAGUCCAACCGAGAGUGAUCUUUGGUGAAUGUUAUCCAACAUGAGUAGUAUUAUGUUUGUGGACAAGUGCCACUAACAUCUAAGUGAAUUAACCUCAACAACUUUGUGAUUCUUUCUUCUUUCCAAAAGAAUAAAGAUUCGAACAUUUCGCCUCUAUAUAAUUUUAACAAGAAGGUAUUGGAUCCGGAUCUAACGAUCCAAAGCGUCCAUCUAUGACCAACUCGUAAUUUAUGUUUUAGAGAUAUCACAACUUUAGUUGGGAUUAGUCACUACCUUGCAACUUUUUGGGUUUUAAGCAUCAUUAUUUUCUAAACAGUUAACACUACCAUAUUAUCUCUACUAUAGAGAUAAUUAAUUAGAUUACCAUAAUCCAAUCAUUGAUUAAUAAAGAACAUUGUUUUGUCAAACAAAACAUUUAUCAAUUUCACAUAGUGACGGAAUUUAGUUCCUUAAAAUUGGAAUAUAAAGACAAUCUUUGUUUUUCCAAUUUCUUUGGUAGUUCAUAUGAGGAAGUAAGUACCAUCUGCUUUCGCAGAGAUCUACAU
rnacentral:lncRNA from 1 species